rnacentral:rRNA from 1 species
UACAGAGGGUGCAAGCGUUGUUCGGAAUUAUUGGGCGUAAAGGGCGCGUAGGCGGUUCGGCAAGUCUCUAGUGAAAUCUCUGGGCUCAACUCAGAGUCUGCUGGGGAAACUGCCGGGCUUGAGUGUGGGAGAGGAGAGUGGAAUUCCCGGUGUAGCGGUGAAAUGCGUAGAGAUGUGGAGGAACACCGAUGGCGAAGGCGGUGCUCUGGACCGACACUGACGCUGAGGCGCGAAAGCGUGGGGAGCAAACAGG